rnacentral:tRNA from 1 species
GAGGGUAUAGCUCAGUGGUAGAGUGCAUGCCUAGCAUGCGUGAGGCCCUGGGUUCAAUCCCCAGUACCUCCA